UACAGAGGGGGCAAGCGUUGUUCGGAAUUACUGGGCGUAAAGGGCGCGUAGACGGCCUUCUAAGUCGAACGUGAAAUCCCCGGGCUCAACCCGGGAACUGCGUCCGAUACUGGAAGGCUUGAAUCCGGGAGAGGGAUGUGGAAUUCCAGGUGUAGCGGUGAAAUGCGUAGAUAUCUGGAGGAACACCGGUGGCGAAGGCGAACAUCCUGGACCGGUAUUGACGCUGAGGCGCGAAAGCCAGGGGAGCAACAGGAUUAAGAUACCCUUGA
rnacentral:rRNA from 1 species